rnacentral:rRNA from 1 species
GAUGAACGCUGGCGGCGUGCUUAACACAUGCAAGUCGAACGAUGAAGCCCAGCUUGCUGGGUGGAUUAGUGGCGAACGGGUGAGUAACACGCGAGUAAACUGCCCUUGACUCUGGGAUAAGCCUGGGAAACUGGGUCUAAUACUGGAUAUGACUUCUCAUCGCACGGUGGGGGGUGGAAAGAUUUAUUGGUUUUGGAUGGCCUCCCGGCCUAUCCGCUUGUUGGUGAGGUAAUGGCUCACCAAGGCGACGCCGGGUAGCCGGCCUGAGAGGGUGACCGGCCACACUGGGACUAAGACACGGCCCAGACUCCAACGUGAGGCAGCAGGGGGGAGUAUUGCACAAUGGGCGCAAGCCUGAUGCAGCGACGCCGCGUGAGGGAUGACGGCCUUCGGGUUGUAAACCUCUUUCAGUAGGGAAGAAGCGAGAGUGACGGUACCUGCAGAAGAAGCGCCGGCUAACUACGUG